rnacentral:rRNA from 1 species
GAUGAACGCUGGCGGCGUGCCUAAUACAUGCAAGUCGAGCGAACAGACGAGGAGCUUGCUCCUCUGACGUUAGCGGCGGACGGGUGAGUAACACGUGGAUAACCUACCUAUAAGACUGGGAUAACUUCGGGAAACCGGAGCUAAUACCGGAUAACAUGUUGAACCGCAUGGUUCAACAGUGAAAGACGGUCUUGCUGUCACUUAUAGAUGGAUCCGCGCCGCAUUAGCUAGUUGGUAAGGUAACGGCUUACCAAGGCAACGAUGCGUAGCCGACCUGAGAGGGUGAUCGGCCACACUGGAACGGAGACACGGUCCAGACUCCUACGGGAGGCAGCAGUAGGGAAUCUUCCGCAAUAGGCGAAAGCCUGACGGAGCAACGCCGCGUGAGUGAAGAAGGUCUUCGGAUCGUAAAACUCUGUUAUUAGGGAAGAACAAAUGUGUAAGUAACUGUGCACGUCUUGACGGUACCUAAUCAGAAAGCCACGGCUAACUACGUG